rnacentral:rRNA from 1 species
GCGCAAUGGGCGAAAGUCUGACGCAGCAACGCCGCGUGAGGGAUGAAGGCCUUCGGGUUGUAAACCUCUUUUCUCAGGGACGAUAAUGACGGUACCUGAGGAAGAAGCCACGGCUAACUACGUGCCAGCAGCCGCGGUAAUACGUAGGUGGCGAGCGUUGUCCGGAUUUACUGGGCGUAAAGAGCGCGCAGGCGGUCGUGCAAGUCGCGUGUGAAAGCCCCCGGCUCAACUGGGGAGGGUCACGCGAUACUGUUCGACUCGAAGGCAGGAGAGGGAAGUGGAAUUCCCGGUGUAGUGGUGAAAUGCGUAGAUAUCGGGAGGAACACCAGUGGCGAAGGCGACUUCCUGGCCUGUUCUUGACGCUGAGGCGCGAAAGCUAGGGUAGCAAACGGGAUUAGAUACCCCGGUAGUCCUAGCCGUAAACGAUGGACACUAGGUGUUGGUGGUAUCAACCCCGCCAGUGCCGAAGCAAACGCAUUAAGUGUCCCGCCUGGGGAGUACGGCCGCAAGGCUA